rnacentral:rRNA from 1 species
GAUACCCUGGUAGUCCACGCUGUAAACGAUGGAUACUAGGUGUGCGGGGUCUGACCCCCUGCGUGCCGCAGCUAACGCAAUAAGUAUCCCACCUGGGGAGUACGAUCGCAAGGUUGAAACUCAAAGGAAUUGACGGGGGCCCGCACAAGCGGUGGAGUAUGUGGUUUAAUUCGAAACAACGCGAAGAACCUUACCAGGGCUUGACAUGGGGAUGACCGCUCCAGAGAUGGAGUUUCCUCUUCGGAGGCAUCCCACACAGGUGGUGCAUGGUUGUCGUCAGCUCGUGUCGUGAGAUGUUGGGUUAAGUCCCGCAACGAGCGCAACCCUUAUUGUUAGUUGCUACGCAAGAGCACUCUAGCGAGACUGCCGUUGACAAAACGGAGGAAGGCGGGGACGACGUCAAAUCAUCAUGCCCCUUACGACCUGGGCUACACACGUGCUACAAUGGGUACAACAAAGGGAAACGAGACUGUAAAGUGGAGCGAAACUCAAAAAAGUAGUCUCAGUUCGGAUUGAAGGCUGAAAUUCGCCUUCAUGAAGCCGGAAUUGCUAGUAAUGGCAGGUCAGCAUGCCGCGGUGAAUACGUUCCCGGGCCUUGUACACACCGCCCGUCACACCAUGAGAGUUGGGAAUACCCGAAGCCUGUGAGCUAGCUUAUAGAGGCAGCAGUCGAAGGUAGAAUCAAUGAUUGGGGUGAAGUCGUAACAAG